AGAAAAAGCUGGGAAUGUGGCCCAGUGGUUGAGCACCCCUAAGUUCAAUCCCUCUCCAAACCAUGGAGAAAUCUAUUUUAUUGGCAACUAACUUCAGAACUGGUGAAUGUUGGCCAAAAAAAAAAAAAAAAAUGCAGCUAUUAUUUAGGCUACUAAAUUUAUCUAUGUGAUCAUCAGAAAAAAAAAAGAAGAGUAAAUGAAAUAAAUAAUGUCUGGACAGCUUUCCAUAUAGUGUCUUAAAAUUAGAAAACAGGGCUGGGGUUGUGGUUCAGUGGUAGAGCACUUGCCCAACAUGUGUGAAGUCCAGGGUUUGAUUCUCAGCACCACAUAUAAAUAAAUAAAAUAAAGAUACAUUGACAACUGAAUAAAUAUUUUAAAAAAUGAAAAGAAAAGAAACCAGUCUAUACAUGGUAUAGCUAUUGUAGGAUAUAUAGCUACCAGGCAUCUGAGAUUUCUUUGUGAUUUCCUAUUUAGGUUCCCACUUAAAAAAUGGGUUGGAUCUGUUCACAGCAUUGGUAACCUGGUUCAUCAAUAGAUAAGGCCACAUCAAUAGAGGUCUUUUGGAAACAUUCUGGCUGAAUUCUCCCAAGCCAUUGGAAAUGUCAGUGAAUAACUGUGUAGAUUGGUCAGAAGGACCUGCAGUAAUUGUUUAUUUUUCAUCCUUUAAGUAAUUUGACACUCAAUCUCUCCAAACCAUGGAGAAAUCUAUUUUAUUGGCAACUAACUUCAGAAAUGGUGGAUGUUGAAAAAAAAAUGCAGCCAUUAUUUAGGCUAAUGAAUUUAUCUAUGUGAUCAUCGUCUAAGUGAAUUAUAAACUUAGCUGUAUAAUUUGAAAGAAAUUAUGUGAUGCUAACAGUAUGUGGGAGCAGGAGGGGAAUAAGGACAGAGAACAGUAAAACAUUUGAAAUGGAAAAAGAAAAUCAAUUAACAGAAAGGGAAGAUGCAAUUGCAUUCUUAUUGGAUAUAUUUUAUCACCAUUUAAUCCUUGUCUUGUAGCUCUACUGAAAAACCAAGACUAUCAAAGUGAUCAUAAAAUGAUCCCAUUCUGCAUUAUUGUAGAUGAAAGAAUGAGCGUUCAUCUGGUGGCACUACCACCAGAUGGGCUAGAAUUUUAAUAUCAAGCUUGAUACUUACCAGCUGUGCAAGACUGGGCACAUACUUACCCAGUCUAAGCAGGAAUUUUAUCAUAUCUAAAAUUGGAAAAAUAGCCUUAUCCAAGAAAUUCAUUGUAAAGCUUUUCAAGUUUUGUUACAUAGCAAAAUAUAAGUGAUGGCAAGAACAUGGAGACUAAGGAACCAUUGUACACCAUUGGUGGGAAUGUAAAUUGGUACAGUCAUUAGUGAACACAGCAUGAAAGUUCCUCAAAAAAUUAAAAAUAGAACUACCACUUCUAGGCAAAUAUCCAAAAGAAAUGAAAUCAGGAUCUUGAAGAGAUAUCUUCACUACUAUCUUUACUGUAGCAAUCUUCAUAAUAGCCAAGAUAAGGAAACAAUUGAAAUGUUCAACAACAAAUGAAUGGAUAAAGAAAAUGUGCUAUGUAUUCACCAUGGAAUAUUAUUUAGACUUUAAAAAGAAGGAAAUCCUAGCUGGGCUCAGUAAGCACAUGCCAGUAAUCCUAGCUACUUAGGAGGCUGAUGCUGGAGGAUCCCAAGUUUGAGGGCAGCCUCAGCAACUUAGCAAGACCCUGUCUCAAAAUAAAACAUAAAACAGGCUGAGAUCACAAGUUCAAAGCUAGCCUCAGCAGCUUAUCGAGGCCCUAGGUAACUCAGUGAGACCCUAUCUCUAAAUAAAACACAAUAAAGGGCUGGAGAGAUGGUUCAGUGGUUAAGUGCCCUGAGUUCAAUCCGUGGUGCCAAAGUGGAGGGAAAAAAAGAGAAAAGAAGGAC
rnacentral:lncRNA from 1 species